UGGGGAAUAUUGCACAAUGGGCGAAAGCCUGAUGCAGCAACGCCGCGUGAGUGAUGAAGGUCUUCGGAUUGUAAAGCUCUGUCUUUUGGGACGAUAAUGACGGUACCAAAGGAGGAAGCCACGGCUAACUACGUGCCAGCAGCCGCGGUAAUACGUAGGUGGCGAGCGUUGUCCGGAUUUACUGGGCGUAAAGGGUGCGUAGGCGGAUGUUUAAGUGAGAUGUGAAAUACCCGGGCUUAACUUGGGUGCUGCAUUUCAAACUGGAUAUCUAGAGUGCAGGAGAGGAGAAUGGAAUUCCUAGUGUAGCGGUGAAAUGCGUAGAGAUUAGGAAGAACACCAGUGGCGAAGGCGAUUCUCUGGACUGUAACUGACGCUGAGGCACGAAAGCGUGGGUAGCAAACAGGAUUAGAUACCCUGGUAGUCCACGCCGUAAACGAUGAGUACUAGGUGUAGGAGGUAUCGACCCCUUCUGUGCCGCAGUAAAACACAUUAAGUACUCCGCCUGGGAAGUACGAUCGCAAGAUUAAAACUCUAAGUGAAUUGAC
rnacentral:rRNA from 1 species